rnacentral:lncRNA from 1 species
CAUUCGUUUGUGAGAGCGACCUAGCAACAAAAGCAAGAACAAACUCAUAUUCUCAUUAGGCCAUGCAAUUGCAUAAAUAGACAAUAUUAACUAUAUAAUUAUGUAUAGCUACUGGCCAAAAUAAAUAACAAAAGUACAUUUAUAUUAGAAAAUGAUUUAUAUUAGAGCCUUCGGCUUACUGCUAUGCUGGAUAAAUUUUCUUAAUCCACGGUACCAACCCGUUAUUCUAUUUAUCCUAUCGCCUUUUACGAAUAUAUUAGUGAAGAUACCUUUAAACUUUACACUUCUUGAGUUAGGCUACUUCCUUUGUGAAUCAUUAUUAUGGCGAUUGAAUUUCCACGCAGGAAGAAAUAGUUCCCCAGAUUUUGAUAACUUUUUAGGUCAAAGAACAUACAUUUUGAAGGCAUUGUAAUGUCUAUGCAAUUGCAAUUUUUUUACCCAUCUAGAAUAUCAUUCUUUCUAAAGAUUCGUAAAAUGUGCAGUUUUCAAACAAGUCAGUGAGUCGAAGUUAGUCACGGUCGAGGCCACUUGUGACAGUUCAAAUUAUAUCAUGAAUAUGUGGAAAUUCUAGAUAUUCAACACCGCACCGGAAAACAAAGAAUGAAUAUCUGUAUGCUAAGAGUAACUGUGUCGUUACCAGUGAAAUGGAGCCUCCGGCAGAAAUUGAAGAUACCGGAUAUGGAUGGGAUACAUGUAUGUUACACUUUCCAGAUGCUUCAAAAUCUUGCGCACGAACUUAGUGAUGAUUUAUGUUCAAAGUUUCUAUUUCAUAAUUACUUUGUGAUUCAGUGUGUGGAGGCGACGGUUUAUCUAGAAUGUACAAGAACUUGUCUUUUGGGUAGCAGCUGUGCCACAGACUGAACAGAUCUAGAUUGACAUGGUUAGGCAAAAGCAGAAAAGCCAGCAUCACUAACACUGGAGCAGCUCUUUUCUCUUUGGACAUGGAGACAUGACAUACUGGACAUUUUGUGGCCGCUAAUUUGCUUAUAAACACGGAUUUUCUGUACGAGAUGCAUGUGAUAGAAGUGAUAUGCCAAUUUUUUAUUUGCAUCGAGAUCUCAAUCAGCAGUCAUUGGCUCCAGAACAGUCUUGGAUCAGUUUAGAUGUUAUUACUGGAGUCUGUUAUUGCUGCAGUUUCGUGGACCAGUUUAUAUGUUAUUACUGAAGUCGUGGACCAAGUUUAAUGUUAUUACUGCAGUUUCUUGGACCAGUUUAGAUGUUAUUACUUAAGUCGUGGACCAAAUUAGAUGUUAAUACUGCAGUUUCGUUGACCAGUUUAGAUGUUAUUACUUAAGUCGUGGACCAAUUUAGAUGUUAAUACUGCAGUUUCGUGGACCAGUUUAGAUGGUAUUACUGAUGUCGUGGACCAAUUUAGAUGUUAAUACUGCAGUUUCGUGGACCAGUUUAGAUGUUAUUAUUUAAGUCGUGGACCAAUUUAGAUGUUAAUACUGCAGUUUCGUGGACCAGUUUAGAUGUUAUUAUUUAAGUCGUGGACCAAUUUAGAUGUUAAUACUGCAGUUUCGUGGACCAGUUUAGAUGUUAUUACUGAUGUCGUGGACCAAUUUAGAUGUUAAUACUGCAGUUUCGUUGACCAGUUUAGAUGUUAUUACUUAAGUCGUGGACCAAUUUAGAUGUUAAUACUGCAGUUUCGUUGACCAGUUUAGAUGUUAUUACUUAAGUCGUGGACCAAUUUAGAUGUUAAUACUGCAGUUUCGUGGACCAGUUUAGAUGUUAUUACUUAAGUCGUGGACCAAUUUAGAUGUUAAUACUGCAGUUUCGUGGACCAGUUUAGAUGUUAUUACUGAUGUCGUGGAGCAAGUUAAAUGUUAUUACUGCAGUUUCGUGGAUCAGUUUAGAUGUUAUUACUGUAGUUUCGAUUCCACUUUUCCUAAAUUACACCCCAACAAAGCACAAUGACAGCACUUAAAAAGAAAAACAGAAAGCCUACUAAAAUAAAUACAAAAAAAAAAAUUCCCCGCCAAAUUAUUCCAGCAGAAAUUUAUUCUCAAAACAAAUUCAUAACAUAAAUUUAAAAACCAGGAGCUAGGAAAGCAGAAGUAUCUGAAUGUUGAAUGUUUAGAUAAAUAGAUUAUAUAGUAAAUAGAUUAUAAUAGUAAAUAGAUUUGUGUCUCAAAGAUAAGAGACAUUUAUUUGCUAGAUUUUAAAAGGAAGAUGCACUAAGAUGUGGUUACAGGUAAAGUAUGAUGGAAAGAGGCAUAAUUCUGUAAAAUAAAAAGAGUGAUGGGAAUGGAUUUGACAUAUGCAGAUGUUGAAAACGAAUAUAUAUUUAUUGAGUU